UAUUCACUACGUUUCACACUUAAUUGUAGUUUCAAAAUUACAUUAACGUAGCAUACAAUAAACUAUAAUCGUCUACAUAAAUAUAACUAGUAAAAGAGACACAUAGUCGUUGACAGUUCACUGCAAACAUUACUGUACACAGCGUCAUUAGUACGUAUGAUUCAACUACAGCGAAUAGUUUGCGAAUAGAAAAGGAGGGGAUGGAUUUGACCAUUUCAAAACACAGCUGUCUUAACCUUAAACGACAUUUAAAGCGGAAGUGUAACAAUCAGUACGUAAUGAAAAGAUAAAACACAGAAAACCGUUUCUCCACUGUUAUCAUCAAGUUUCACAGAUUUUUUACAUUAUUCCUUUAUCAUAUCCAGUUUCAAUUCACAAUGAGUAUAUAUAGAGAUAUUCAAAAAGUGACUCAGAUACCCUAUAGUGAUGAGACUUCAACAUUCGUGCGACAUAGAGAAUCUACUAUAUCUAAAAGAAAUCGAAGAAUAAACAAGCCAAAACUUCCACGUAAUGCAAAUUUAUACACUGAAGACGAUGAAAAAAA